GUUUCUUUUCCUAUAUUUUCUGUUAGAUAUUAAAUGACGUUUCAGAAAUAUAAUAUAAAUAGAUCGACAGAACAAACUCCGUUAAACAUUUCAUGGAAACCUUCAUUAGUAAUCCACGAAAAAUUAGGAUCCAACAAAAGAUGUUGCGAGCUUCUCUGCGACAUAGGGUGUUUUUGAAACAAGUAGCAAACUUGCAGGUGGUGAUAUGGCACUAUGAAACAAGAAAAUUAUUUAAUGUGUAGUGAUCCGAAAGUUAAUCAGUUUCUAAAAAAACGUAUUUGAAAGUACAGGCAAGAAUCAGAAGAAUUGGUAAAAUAAGGCAGUGAAACACGACAAUGCAACGUCGCAUUCAAUCAGUUACUAAUUAGCAGCUCCUGUGCGGAAUUUUUUUUGUAUUUUUGCACUUAUGCAUUCUUGUUUUUUUUUUAGAUUGGAUUAAGUGUGAUUGAGGAUUCUUAUGUUACAGCUAGCGCAGGGUGGUUAUUUGUUCUUUUAAAGUUGUAGGCCUGUAUGUGUGUAGUCUGUCGAAGUCAUUGGCAGUAAUUCAGUGUGUCACUGUCAUGGGUCAGUGCAUUGAUCAAUGCGUGAGUUUUAAGACGAACCGUUUUCCAGACGCUGGAUUGGACGCUUUACAGCUUUGAUUUUGAUGUAAAAACUGAGGUGCGUGCCACGGUGAUGAUUUGGGAUAUAUUUUCAAAACGGAAUGGACACCUGAGAUAAUACCAAACAGUUCUGAAGAUAU